rnacentral:rRNA from 1 species
UACGUAGGGGGCAAGCGUUGUCCGGAAUUAUUGGGCGUAAAGCGCGCGCAGGCGGCUAUUUAAGUCUGGUGUUUAAUACAAGGGCUCAACCCUUGUUCGCAUCGGAAACUGGGUGGCUUGAGUGUAGGAGAGGAAAGUGGAAUUCCACGUGUAGCGGUGAAAUGCGUAGAGAUGUGGAGGAACACCAGUGGCGAAGGCGACUUUCUGGCCUAUAACUGACGCUGAGGCGCGAAAGCGUGGGGAGCAAACAGGAUUAGAUACCCCUGUAGUCC